rnacentral:tRNA from 1 species
GCCAGGGUAGCUCAGCUGGUUAGAGCGGGCGCUUCAUAAGCGUCAGGUCGCGAGUUCAAGUCUCGCCCCUGGUA